rnacentral:tmRNA from 1 species
GGGGAUGACUAUAAUCGAUGGAACCUUUACAUCUUACUUUUUUCUUAGUAAAGCGUCUAUAAUGGCUUUUCAAAACACUAUAGAAUUCUAAGUGCAAAAAACUUAGUAGCAAACGCUAAAGCCAGUGUAAAGCAAUUUGCACAAAGCUUUGCCUUUGCACCAGCUGUUGCUUAAUUUUGCGACAGCCAUCCGCCCUUCUGACGCCUCUAGGAAUGAACGCGGGUGCCAUUUUUUGAGGCUUAUCCUUUCGAUGUUGCUAAGAUUGGAAACAUUUAUAGCAGCUUGGGUUUUAACUUUUUUGUAUGUUUUUCAGGUUAAUUCCGAGAUUCAAAACAUUCUAUACUAAGUAAACAAGGGUAGGAGAAAGUUUCAGACGUGGGUGUGAUACCCUCCAUCUCCACAA